rnacentral:rRNA from 1 species
GACGAACGCUGGCGGCGUGCCUAAAACAUGCAAGUCGAACGAGACCUUCGGGUCUAGUGGCGAACGGCGGAGUAAUACAUGAACAACGUGCCCCUAUGUCCGGGACAAACGACAGAAAUGCCAUAAAUACCGGAUGUGGCCGAUACUAGGCAUCUAGAAUCGAUUUAAAGGUUUUUCGCAUAGGGAGGCGGUUCAUGGCCUAUCAGGUAGGUUGGUGGGGUAAAAGACCUACCAAGCCGACGACGGGUAGGCGGGUCUGAGAGGACGAUCCGCUCGAGUGGGACUGAGACACGG